GGACGAACGCUGGCGGCGUGCCUAACACAUGCAAGUCGAACGGACUAACGUUUAGCACUGAGUGUUCAGUGAAGUUGGUUAAAGCGAGAGCUCGAACGUAGUGAAGCGAAGAGAGAGCUCCAGGCAUUAUAAAGUGCCAACACAGUGUGCUAAAGGGAAACGGUAAGCACACUGAGUGCUUAGACGUUAGUUAGUGGCGGACGGGUGAGUAACGCGUGGAUAACCUACCUGCUAGACCGGGACAACCCUUGGAAACGAGGGCUAAUACCGGAUGAGCUUAAUUAGUGGCAUCACUGAUUAAGGAAAGAUGGCCUCUGAAGAUGCUAUCGUUAGUAGAUGGAUCCGCGUCUGAUUAGCUAGUUGGUGGGGUAAAGGCCUACCAAGGCGACGAUCAGUAGCCGGCCUGAGAGGGUGAACGGCCACACUGGGACUGAGACACGGCCCAGACUCCUACGGGAGGCAGCAGUGGGGAAUCUUCCGCAAUGGACGAAAGUCUGACGGAGCAACGCCGCGUGUACGACGAAGGCCUUCGGGUUGUAAAGUACUGUCUUCAGGGACGAACGGUAAGUAUGUAAAG
rnacentral:rRNA from 1 species